rnacentral:rRNA from 1 species
AAUGAACGCUGGCGGCGUGCCUAAUACAUGCAAGUCGAACGGCCAGGGGACAGAGCACAGAAGUCAGAGAGCAGAAUACAACAAGUCUGUCAUCUGGUUUCCGUAUUCAGUCCUCUGGCAGUGGCGGACGGGUGAGUAACACGUUGGUACCUACCCCGAAGUGGGGAAUAACUGCCCGAAAGGGUGGCUAAUACCGCAUAAUACCGCAAGGUUAAAGCAUUUAUGCGCUCGGGAGGGGCCUGCGUCCCAUUAGCUAGUUGGUGAGGUAAUUGCUCACCAAGGCGACGAUGGGUAGCUGGAUCGAGAGGUUGACCAGCCACACUGGGACUGAGAUACGGCCCAGACUCCUACGGGAGGC